rnacentral:lncRNA from 1 species
CUCUCCCCCUUUCCCCUCUCCGACGAGAUCGUCGCCCUGCUGCCGCCAUUACCGCAAACGGUCGGGUUAUCCCGUGAUUCGGAUUGCUUGCCCGAUUUAGAAAGCGCGAAAGAACGAUGAAUGAUCCGCCGCGAGAGAAAAGACCGCCUCAAUUUCAACGACAUCUCGUUUCUAGAGAGAGAAAGAGAAGGAGAGAGAGAGAUCGACGAGGGGAUCUCUAGAGAGAGAAAAAAAGAAAAAAGCAUUCGAGUCGGAAAAUAAGAAGAAAAUCUGUGGACGGAAAGAGCGCUAAACUGACGCGCCUGUGAGUUAAUUUUUAGCGAC